rnacentral:rRNA from 1 species
GAGUCGGACCUGCCCAGUGAAUAUAUUUUAACGGCCGCGGUACUCUGACCGUGCAAAGGUAGCAUAAUCAUUUGCCCUAUAAUUGAGGGCUAGUAUGAAUGGUUUGACGUGAACAAGACUGUCUCUAUGUAAUUUUUUAGAAUUUGAUUUUUAGGUGAAGAAACCUAAAUAUUAUUGAAAGACAAGAAGACCCUAUUGAGCUUUAAAUAAAUAAAUUGAAAAUAAUAUAUAGAUUUAGAUAUUAAUCUAUUUAGGAUUUUGGUUGGGGCGACUAUGGAACAAAUAAAGCUUCUUUAUAAUAAAUUAAACUAACAGGUAUUGAUCCAGAAAUUUUGAUUAAUGAAAUUAGUUACCAUAGGGAUAACAGCAUAAUUCUCUUUGAGAGCUCUUAUCGAAAAGAGAGUUUGUGACCUCGAUGUUGGACUAGAAUAUCCUGAAGAUGCAGUAGUCUUUAAGGGUUGGUC